UAUUGCACAAUGGGCGAAAGCCUGAUGCAGCAACGCCGCGUGAGGGAUGACGGCCUUCGGGUUGUAAACCUCUUUUAGUAGGGAAGAAGCGUAAGUGACGGUACCUGCAGAAAAAGCACCGGCUCACUACGUGCCAGCAGCCGCGGUAAUACGUAGGGUGCAAGCUUUGUCCGGAAUUAUUGGGCGUAAAGAGCUCGUAGGCGGUUUUUCGCGUCUGCGGUGAAAUCCCGAGGCUCAACCUCGGGCUUGCAGUGGGUACGGGCAGACUAGAGUGCGGUAGGGGGGAUUGGAAUUCCUGGUGUGGCGGUGGAAUGCGCAGAUAUCAGGGGGAACACCGAUGGCGAAGGCAGAUCUCUGGGCCGUAACUGACGCUGAGGAGCGAAAGCGUGGGGAGCGAACAG
rnacentral:rRNA from 1 species